CCACAACCUCCCGUCCACCACUCGCCCCACUCUUCGCUCCCACUACACUCAUCAUUGGUGACAGUAUCAUGAGAGGCAUCAGGUUCUUCAACGCUAUCACACUGUCAUUCCCUGGUGCUACAGCUGCAGAUAUCGCUGUCAAAAUUCCUUCCCUUCUCCGCUCACUCCCCUCCUCUGUACACCGCAUUAUCCUUCACGUCGGCUGCAAUGACACAGCGCGCCCCCAGUCUGAGCAGAUAAAACCUGAUUUUCAAAAUCUGAUGGACUUACUGAAAGACUGCGGAAAGUCUAUUUUUAUUAGCGGGCCCCUACCAACGGUAAACAACUCUGAGCGCUUCAGCAGACUGCUCAGCCUGAACACCUGGAUUAGCUCGUUCUGCCGUGCCAGGAGAAUUAACUUUAUUGACAAUUUUAACUGUUUCUGGAACAGGCCAGAAUAUUUUAACAGUGAUGGCAUUCAUCCAAACAGGUCCGGCAGAUCACUUUUAAUCUCAAAUAUCCAAUACACCGUCCACACUUCAGACUGACUAGUGCCAGUGUUUACAUCCAUCUCUUCUUCACGCUCCACUGAACCGCCUCCCAGCUACAGCGCACCCCUCUGUCCCCACCUGGAACUCCCCCCAUCUUCCCCUCCAGCACACCCACUGCCUCCCCCCUCUGGCUCCCCCUGCCCGUCACCCCCUCUCUACCAGAAUUCAACAAGUUGCCAAAUCCCCACCAUCAUCAGCUUCAGACAACCUCGGCAGCCUUCCCUCAGAAACUGCCAUUUUGCUAACCUUUGCCCACUUCCACGGACCUCACAGCCUUGUCCCCAGAAGCCCUCCCCUAAUCACACAUCCACACUUCACCUGAACUUUGCCCUCUUCAACACCCGCUCCGUCACCAGCAAAGGCCCCAUUCUACAAUUAUUCAUCCUGGACAAUAAACUGCACUUCCUCUGUCUAACUGAAACAUGGCACAAACCACUGGACUUCUACCCACUCAACCAAGCCACUCCCUCUGGAUACACGUACCUCAACUCACCCCGCCCAGAAGGUCGAGGAGGCGGCAUCGCAGUCAUCCACAAACAGGUCUUCACAACCAUCCCACUUUCCAUCCCUGCCUCCCCCUCCUUUGAACACCUUGUUUUUAAAUUACCCGGUCCCACCCCAAUGGCCACUGCUAUCAUUUACCGGCCACCUAAACCAAACCCCUCAUUUCUCCCUGACUUUUCCCACUUUGCCACCCAGCUAUCAGCUACAUCUCCCUCAGUCCUCAUCCUCGGGGACUUCAACUUUCACAUGGACAACCUUCACAGCAAAUCUGCCUCUGUCUUCCUAGACCUCCUACAAUCACUCAACCUCACCCAGCAUGUCAAUUUCCCCACCCACAACCAUGGACCCAUCCUCGAUCUGGUCUGCUCCUCUGGUCUCACAGUCUUAAAUAUCUCCAGCUGUCAUCUCUGACCACCUAGCAAUAACUAUGGACAUCAGCCUUCCCACCCCUCUGCCCAAGGAAAAACGGACAGUCUUUUUUAGAAACACCAAAUCACUCUCCCCCUCUGUAUUCUCCGCCUCACUGACCACUGCAUUGUCCGUCUCCCCCCCCAUCAACCGAAAACCCCACUGACCUCAUCAACCACUACAGUGCUCAUGAAAGACGUCAAACUACAGUGGCAUCUCCUCGUGUUUCUGACCGAACACAUUGCAGUGGAACAGCACAACAACCAUCCUAACAUUGGAUAGUGAGAAGAUCCUGAAAUCACUAUAUCACUCUUUUCCUUCUUUAACCUGAAGGAAGCGGCAGCUGCAAUUCCUGUUGGAGGGGCGUGGCCGCAGGGCAGGACUGAGUCCAGAGGAGGUGCGAGAUAAUGGGAAGCUUCUGGGUGAAGGCCUGAGCAGAGCGUUGUUUGACUACCCAAGCAGAGACUGCAGUGCAGAGAGCCCUGAGGUUACUACGGAGGGCACUGUGGAGUCAUCAGAGUGUGCUGCCAUGACAGAACAGUACCUCCAGGAGUUGGUUCAAAGAGCAUCAGACAUCAAUCUGAAGCACGAGGCUUUACACAAGCUCUGGCCCUCCAUGUUUGCAGAGACUCCACAUCUGCCUGGACCCCAUCCCCACUGCCCUCCUCAAAAACUGCCUCCCUGUUAUCUCCCCCCUCAUCUCUAACAUCAUCAACACUUCCCUCAGUACUGGCUGUGUCCCCCCACCCCUCAAGCUCGCCUCUGUCUCCCCCAUCCUCAAAAAACCUGGUUUGGAUCCAACCUUCCCUCACAACUUCCGGCCCAUCUCCAACCUCCCGUUCAUAUCCAAAACAUUAGAACGUGUUGUCGCUGCCCAGUCCAAAGCACUCAAUAAACUU